UUCCCUUUUCAUUCAAUUAUUUUUAUCAUCAUUACAAAAUUUAUAUUAUUUUCUUUUCCGAUCGUACCAUGGUGAUUUCCUUGUAAUCCGACGGUCCAUAGUGGGUGUUCAUAUCAAGGCUGCAGACAACUGGGUUUUUUGAUUGAUGACACCAUCAACCUUCGUACUCAAAAUCUAAUGGAGGUGUUAACAUCAGAAGAAGGAUCUGGCUAAUCGAACGGUCGAUAUUAGAGUUGAAAAUUUGAAUUCAUACAACCUACAUAGUUUGACAACAUAAUGCAUACAUACAGAAACAGCGUGUGCAUGGGGUCGUGGUCAUUUCUGGAGCUGAGAAAACCAGCUGGUAGGGCCGAACCUGCACCAAUGUUUUGUCUUUUUUGGUGUUGGCUUCUCACUUCUUUUACUCUUCUUAAAACCCCUUUACCCUAUCAUUCUCUUCAUCAUCAUCUCAUCUUACAAAAUCCAAAACUUGCUCAUUUCUUUCUCUGUCUUUCCUCUCAUCCCCCUUGAAGGUAGCCGAGACUCUUGGGGGAUCGAUAAACACAUAAAACCCCUUUUUCAUAAACACAAACGGUUCAAGAGUUUUCAAGUUUUAUUUCAUGGGGAGCCUUUCCUUUUGAGGGGAAUGUUGUCUGGCUCGAGGACACUUAUUUUGAUCCAUAUAGAUCUGGAUUUUUGAAAUUAUCAUUUAUCUAAUCGACGAUCAUGUGUAGCGUCGUCGGACCAGGCUUCAUUCCCCCCAAUUAUUGCUUCCAGAUUCAUCCGUCCUUGCAUGUACAGCAUGUGAAGUUAAGAAAAUGACAAGGAGACUUCUAAAUCCGUGAUGGUUGUGAUACGGGUAUGGUAAUCGGUGUGGGAAUUGACCACUGGCCUCAGCUUCGUCAUCUCCUACUUUAAAACCCUAAUGCUUUUUCACCCAUAUAUCAUUUUUUCAUACGUAUUUCAUGUCUGUUGUUCCAUAAAGUGCCGUUUCCCUUCCUUGGUUUCACUCAAUCACUUUGUUUCAGGGUUUUGGGCGAAGUUGAAGCAUUUCUAUAAUCAUUAUGUCAGGUGAUUGAAUGGUUUUCAUUUUGGUCAUAAAAGAGCUAGAAAUAUAUGUCUUUAAAUGCCAUAGAUAGAUAUGUACUUUAAAGAAAUGUUUCAUGAAAUUUAACAACCAGAUAUGGUUAAGAAAGAUUUUGAAGAUAAAAUACUACUUAAAUGAGUAAACUGUCCUUAAAAGUUCUAUUUCCUAUGCAGCCUUCAUUAGUUACUGCAUUUCAGGGAACUAAUGAUUAAAACCCAGGUGCCGAAAUUGUUGGUGAAAUUAAGUUACUUUUUUCAUAAUUUACUUAAUUAAUAACAGAGAAAACGAGGGAUAUAAAUGCACGCAAAAUAGUUCAUUAAUUAUUAGUAAGAAGGGUGGAAACCGGGAAGAGUUAUCUAGCCCUUUAGAUCAGCGUAGGUGGUAAAACGUCAGCAGGAAGAUAAGCCAUUGAUUUUAUGUAAUUUGUCAAGGCGAUAAGUAAAAUUAAUUAGUUAGUAUGAAGAUGUUUGGUUUGGAAUCCAGGAAGCGUCAGUUUUCUCUUUCCUUUGCUCCUUGAGAGCAAUGAAAACACUACCAAUGUGGUGAAUUACGUGGAUGCUUAUCUCCUUGAUCCAUGCUGAAAAGGGAUUGUAUGAAUGCUGUCUCAUAAAGGAGUGGCUUUUGGGAAAUUGCAUCUUUUUGACCUUAGCAAAGAUAAAGUAAAACCCUUGUUGCUCUGCUUUAGUUGUUGAUUUUUGAGGAUUGCUGCUUUUAGUGCAACUGUUUUUCAAGAGAAAGUGUCAAGUCUUUCGGCCAUUUCUAAGACUAUGAAUUUCCCUUAUGCCCACUACCUUGAAUGAUUAGUGUGUAGUGUGUACAACUUGACUAAUAUUUCGUCAGCCUAGCAAUUUGAAUUUUCAUGGGUUGCUGCCUGCUAAGGAGGCUCAUAAGUACUUGUACCAAAAUAGUGAAGUUGAAGAUAGGGUCUUUAGAAUUUGACCUUUCUCACGUCUGAUCCAGCACAUUAAUUUGUUUCAUUCUUCAGCCUUAGUAGCUUCUACA